CAGUAGCCGCGGGAAUACGUAGGGUGCGAGCGUUAAUCGGAAUUACUGGGCGUAAAGCGUGCGCAGGCGGUUCGUUAAGACAGAUGUGAAAUCCCCGGGCUUAACCUGGGAACUGCAUUUGUGACUGGCGAGCUAGAGUAUGGCAGAGGGGGGUAGAAUUCCACGUGUAGCAGUGAAAUGCGUAGAGAUGUGGAGGAAUACCGAUGGCGAAGGCAGCCCCCUGGGCCAAUACUGACGCUCAUGCACGAAAGCGUGGGGAGCAAACAGGAUUAGAUACCCGUGUAGUCCCUGUCUCUUAUAC
rnacentral:rRNA from 1 species